GUCUACAGUCAUGCCACCCUGAACAAGCCCGAUCUCGUCUGAUUUCGGAAGCUAAGCAGGGUCAGGCUUGGUUAGUACUUGGAUGGGAAACCACCUAGGAAGACCAGGUGGUGUAGGCA
rnacentral:rRNA from 1 species